AAGACCAAACCACUUUUAAACUAGUGAUCAAGAAUUUCCUUGGCUGACAAACUAAACUGUUGAUCAGUCUCUACCUGACCCAAAGUUUUUAGAGUUAGCAUUUGCUUGAUGUAUUCAGGUAUCAGUGCUGGAGAUGGAUGGGCAAUUUGACAGACUAGAUGAGCUCAUCUACGUGGAGAGCCAUCUAAGCAACCUCUCAACUAAAUUCUACGGAGAGGUGACACAGCAAAUGCUAAAGCAUGCAGACUUCCCAGGAAGCAACAAUGGAACAGGUCUCUUCCAGACCAUCGUUGGACUGAAGAUUAGAGAUCUCUAUGAACAGAUAGUUGCUGAGAGGGCUGGUGCACCAGUUGAGUCAGCGAAAGUUUAAUGAUCUCCACAUUCAGAUUUCCUACACCUCUUCAAACUCAAUGAGAAUGAGAAUCCUCGCAUUUCCUGUAAUUAGUUCGGAUAUAUCACAGCUAGAAGGAGGUAGAAAUGUCAUUGCAGUGCUCAGGAAAACAUGCAAUGGAAUUUCUAGAAAUCCCUCGCCAUGGGGGUGCUCUUGCAUCUCUUUUUCACAUGUUUGAAUGUAUACCUCUUCCAUGCUUUUAUGCAGAAAGAAAUACAACUGCCUGGUGCCUGGU
rnacentral:lncRNA from 1 species